rnacentral:rRNA from 1 species
GCAAGGGGAGUGGCAGACGGGUGAGUAACGCGUGGGAAUCUACCCAAUUCUACGGAACAACUGAGGGAAACUUCAGCUAAUACCGUAUACGCCCUACGGGGGAAAGAUUUAUCGGAGUUGGAUGAGCCCGCGUUGGAUUAGCUAGUUGGUGGGGUAAUGGCCUACCAAGGCGACGAUCCAUAGCUGGUCUGAGAGGAUGAUCAGCCACACUGGGACUGAGACACGGCCCAGACUCCUACGGGAGGCAGCAGUGGGGAAUAUUGGACAAUGGGCGCAAGCCUGAUCCAGCCAUGCCGCGUGAGUGAUGAAGGCCUUAGGGUUGUAAAGCUCUUUCAGUGGGGAAGAUAAUGACGGUACCCACAGAAGAAGCCCCGGCUAACUACGUGCCAGCAGCCGCGGUAAUACGUAGGUGGCAAGCGUUAUCCGGAAUUACUGGGCGUAAAGCGCACGCAGGCGGCC